rnacentral:hammerhead_ribozyme from 1 species
AUCCAACUGACGAGUCCCAAAUAGGACGAAACGCUCGUCUCGGAU